ensembl:lncRNA
UCCCUGACAAGAAAGUUCAAUACAUCAAAAUCCAUUACAUGAAUUAAUAAAUACAUUCUUGUGGAGUAUGAAGUAAAAAAAGAUAGCUCAAUUGUAACUUUGUAUGUACAGUAAACAUAUUAACUGCAUUGUGUCCUGUUUGAAUCAGAUUAACAAGUUUCAUAAUUACCCUUUCUGUGUAUUUGUUCUUAGCAUCACAAUGGCAACAUGCAGUCCAUACAGCCGUCCGGAGCCACUGAAAUGUAAAUGCGUUGCCACACGUGUCACAAGAAAGGCAGUAGCCUAUGUAAAGUGUGGAGACAAAAUUGAAGUAGAGCAACACAGAUUUACGGCAUUCAGUGUUGUAACAGAUGGAAAUAACACUUACAUUUCAUCGAAGAAUGGUGAGACCCCAGAAUUUGAAGAAGGGGCCAGCUACGUGGUGAAAAACCACACCAUAUCUAGCAAGUAUGGAAAGCCAAGUAUAUUUGUAAAAUCAGCCACAAGCAAAUUUAAAACAUCCCAACUGAGUCUUACUGAAGAUCAGGAGAGAAGGGCCAGAGAGAUCCUUGUUCCACAUUCCCCUCUGGUCUCCGUGGACAAAGUGGACCCUUCAGAAGAUGGGUACGUCAGUCUCCUGGGAGAGAUAGAGGAAUUGCAGGAGGUGAGGAUGGCACAGGUGCAAUUUGGUAAAGUGCCCGUCCUGGACUUUAAGCUAAACUGCAACUCAAGAGCAGUUGAGGUUUCUCUGUGGAGAGAUGAGGCUCUUAUCGAGGUGUUAAAUGGAGACACUGUGGAGCUGACCCACCUCCGCCCAAACACUAAACCGAAUGGAAACAUUAAAUUCAAUUCUUCCACAUACACCACCGUAAAGGUUUCAGAAAGGCGGCUCAUUGAGGAGACGGUGGAGGUGAUCGGAGUGUCUUCCGGAAUGGGCGUGAUCGUGCUUCUGGGGGUCGAUUAUGAGGAGUACAUUGUCCCAGACACAAUGUAUUCAGGAGACGUUGAGGACCU